rnacentral:tRNA from 1 species
ACGGCUUUGGCAAGCGCGGCUCAAUCGCUCGUGCGCCAUUCCGUGGUGCUGCCC